GAUGAACGCUGGCGGCGUGCCUAAUACAUGCAAGUCGAGCGAACGGACGAGAAGCUUGCUUCUCUGAUGUUAGCGGCGGACGGGUGAGUAACGCGUGGAUAACCUACCUAUAAGACUGGGAUAACUUCGGAAACCGGAGCUAAUACCGGAUAAUAUUUUGAACCGCAUGGUUCCAAAGUGAAAGACGGUCUUGCUGUCACUUAUAGAUGGAUCCGCGCUGCAUUAGCUAGUUGGUAAGGUAACGGCUUACCAAGGCAACGAUGCAUAGCCGACCUGAGAGGGUGAUCGGCCACACUGGAACUGAGACACGGUCCAGACUCCUACGGGAGGCAGCAGUAGGGAAUCUUCCGCAAUGGGCGAAAGCCUGACGGAGCAACGCCGCGUGAGUGAUGAAGGUCUUCGGAUCGUAAAACUCUGUUAUUAGGGAAGAACAUAUGUGUAAGUAACUGUGCACAUCUUGACGGUACCUAAUCAGAAAGCCACGGCUAACUACGUG
rnacentral:rRNA from 1 species